AAGGUUUUCUUAAGGCCCACGCGGACACGUUCUUAAAGACAGAUCUGAGAUCCAGAUUCCGUUAAAAUAUACUGGGAAACUUCUAUUUGCCGAGUCCCUUCCUAGAGGCUUUCCCAUCCCUCCUGUCACAGAGACAUCACUGCCAUGAUCUCUCCCAAUCAGAUGGUUAUGUUGACAUGCCCUUCCCCUGUUGCGCACUGAGACAUAUCACCCAUCGGCUAUGGGUUGUCGCGCUCUCUCUACCUAUCUGAAAAAUCACAGAGGACUUUUGCUGCCCCAGACCUCAGCAGGGAAAGAUCAACCCCUUCCUACUGGACAGCCAUUUCAACCAGUGAAGCCACUUGAGUCGGGUGGAUCGUACUGAGAUUUCUCAGGGCCCGGUCUUUGGGAGUUGGAAGGCAACAGACACAAGUUCAAGAGUACAAUUUUAAUUUGAAGACAAAAAAAAAGCCCCCCGAAACAAGCAAACAAAAAAAAACCCACCUCUGCAUGCUGAGGCGUGCCGUGCAACUGUUUUCCCAAGAAACAUGUUUGGAGAGAGAGCCUGGGUUUUCUUCCAGACAGAGCUGAGUUCAAGUCUUCUGUGUCUCACACGCUAGAAGGUUGACCUCACAGUAUGUAACCUCCGAGCUGCAGCGUACUCGCCUGGUUAGAUUGCUGCCCCUUUGGGAGUCACGAGUUACAGCUUGACACGGUGCACAGAACAGCCUUCCCGGUGCUUGCAAUACGUGUCUGCUCCAGGAACAUUGCCACCUUCCCUGUUACCUUUAUAAAAACCAUUAUAAUUAGAAAAGAAAUACAGGAGAGAAAAACAAUCUGUAUACCUGACAUCACCACUAUAGCUAUAACCGUGACUGUAUAUUUAUAAUAAACAUAUAUGUUUAUCUCCCAUG